UGGGGAAUAUUGCACAAUGGGGGAAACCCUGAUGCAGCAACGCCGCGUGAGUGAUGAAGGUCUUCGGAUUGUAAAGCUCUGUCUUCGGGGACGAUAAUGACGGUACCCGAGGAGGAAGCCACGGCUAACUACGUGCCAGCAGCCGCGGUAAUACGUAGGUGGCAAGCAUUAUCCGGAUUUACUGGGCGUAAAGGGUGCGUAGGCGGAUUUUUAAGUGGGAUGUGAAAUACCCGGGCUCAACUUGGGUGCUGCAUUCCAAACUGGAAGUCUAGAGUGUGGGAGAGGAAAGUGGAAUUCCUAGUGUAGCGGUGAAAUGCGUAGAGAUUAGGAAGAACACCAGUGGCGAAGGCGACUUUCUGGACCAUAACUGACGCUGAGGCACGAAAGCGUGGGGAGCAAA
rnacentral:rRNA from 1 species